GAUGAACGCUAGCGGCAGGCUUAACACAUGCAAGUCGAGGGGCAGCAUACCCGGUGACGGGUGAUGGCGACCGGCGGAAGGGUGAGUAACGCGUGAGCAACAUACCCGUAUCAGUGGGAUAAUACAGGGAAACUUGUUCUAAUAUCACAUAAUAUUAUUCAGAGGCAUCUUUGGAUAAUUAAAGUUCAGGCGGAUACGGAAUGGCUCGCGUGACAUUAGCUAGAUGGUAGGGUAAAGGCCUACCAUGGCUAUGAUGUCUAGGGGUUCUGAGAGGGAGGUCCCCCACACUGGAACUGAGACACGGUCCAGACUCCUACGGGAGGCAGCAGUGAGGAAUAUUGGACAAUGGAUGAAAAUCUGAUCCAGCCAUGCCGCGUGCAGGAAGGCGGCCCUAUGGGUUGUAAACUGCUUUUGUACGGGAGCAAUAAGGUCUACGAGUAGAUUGAUGAGAGUACUGUACGAUAAGCAUCGGCUAACU
rnacentral:rRNA from 1 species